AUCGCUUCUCGGUCUUUUGGCUAAGAUCAAGUGUAGUAUCUGUUCUUAUCAGUUUAAUAUCUGAUACGUCCCCUACCCGGGGACCAUAUAUUAAAUAGAUUUUUGGAACAGGGAGAUGGAAUAGGGGCUUGCUCCGUCCACUCCACGCAUCGACCUGGUAUUGCAGUAUCUCCAGGAACGGUGCACUCCCU
rnacentral:snRNA from 1 species